UACGGAGGGUGCGAGCGUUGUCCGGAAUCACUGGGCGUAAAGGGCGCGUAGGCGGCGCGGAAAGUCGUCGGUGAAAGCUCGGGGCUCAACCCUGAGUCUGCCGGUGAUACUCCCGCGCUCGAGCUCACUAGAGGCAGGCGGAAUUCCGGGUGUAGCGGUGGAAUGCGUAGAGAUCCGGAAGAACACCAGUGGCGAAGGCGGCUCACUGGCCCGAGUACUGACGCUGAGGCACGAAAGCGUGGGGAGCAAACAGGG
rnacentral:rRNA from 1 species